GGACACGACCCCCACAUCCUGGGGAAAAUAUGAUUUGUCCCCCCCAAUAUAUCACUGUAAACAUAACUAUGUAAUUUCAAUAAUAUUAAUAAUACGCAAUGAAAGCACUUGUACUGAUUAUAGACACUUAAUAGCGCGUUUUUAAAUUUCACAAGAUUGCGACCCCCCCCGGCCCUUUGCCUCACAAUGGUUUGAUCCACUGCCAGUUCUUUAGCUGGCAAGGUAAUAGAGGGCUCGUAUCUACUGUCCGAAAGGCACUCAAUGUACGUAACUGACGUGAGGCAGAGCAGGCAACAGAUGGCACACAGACAGCAGAGCUGGGGACAGAUAUGCAGGGACAGACUGGCAGAGACAGGGAGUCUCAGGAGACAGACUGUGAGUCAGUGAGGGUGGUGAAAGGGAAAGAGCCAAGGAGAGAGACUUGAGGACAGUGUCACAGCCACGGCAGGACCAGGUGUCACCCUUGUUGCCAGCAGCACCAGUAUAGGGGACAGUGGCACAGCAUCGUCCAGUUACCUCAGUGAUGACACAAAACCAUAUCAGCCACACCCACAAUUUAUAGAACCGCAAACUCUUGCAAACGUUUCAAGAGAGAGGAACACUGCACUGAUAAGGAACAUUGCUAUAACUAUUAUUAUUAGUAGUAUUAUAAUGAUUUAAACAAGUUGGGACAACCCUUCAGUUAACUACUGUACCUAACAAUUAUCCAGUAGUAGUGAUUAUGGUCCCUCAAUAUACAUUUAACAUAUUACAACAUAGUCUAUGUGUUACAGCACUACUUUUGGUGUCCCCCUCAGGAAUUGCUCCUGAGAAAAUUUCAUGUAAUUGUCCCCUCCAAGGUUGAUAUCAGAUUUUCGCCCCUGACUCCAUGUGAAAGACGUGUCAUUAGGAAAGUUUA